rnacentral:rRNA from 1 species
CCUACGGGGUGCAGCAGUGGGGAAUAUUGCACAAUGGGCGCAAGCCUGAUGCAGCCAUGCCGCGUGUAUGAAGAAGGCCUUAGGGUUGUAAAGUACUUUCAGUCGGGAGGAAGGCGUUGAUGCUAAUAUCAUCAGCGAUUGACGUUACCAACAGAAGAAGCACCGGCUAACUCCGUGCCAGCAGCCGCGGUAAUACGGAGGGUGCAAGCGUUAAUCGGAAUUACUGGGCGUAAAGCGCACGCAGGCGGUUGAUUAAGUUAGAUGUGAAAUCCCCGGGCUUAACCUGGGAAUGGCAUCUAAGACUGGUCAGCUAGAGUCUUGUAGAGGGGGGUAGAAUUCCAUGUGUAGCGGUGAAAUGCGUAGAGAUGUGGAGGAAUACCGGUGGCGAAGGCAGCCCCCUGGACAAAGACUGACGCUCAGGUGCGAAAGCGUGGGGAGCAAACAGGAUUAGAUACCCGCGUAGUC